rnacentral:rRNA from 1 species
UACGGAGGAUCCGAGCGUUAUCCGGAUUUAUUGGGUUUAAAGGGUGCGCAGGCGGGAGAUUAAGUAGGCGGUGAAAUUUUGCAGCUCAACUGUAAAAGUGCCUUCGAAACUGGUUUCCUUGAGUGUGGAUGAAGUAGGCGGAAUUUGUGGUGUAGCGGUGAAAUGCAUAGAUAUCACGAGGAACUCCGAUUGCGCAGGCAGCUUACUAAACCAUAACUGACGCUCAGGCACGAAGGCGUGGAGAUCAAACAGGAUUAGAUACCCUCGGUA